AAAUGUUUGCCUCCCGGCUCAGCUAGCUGUUUUCCAUCAUGUCAGGUGAUCCCCUGCCUGGAUGCAUGAAGGGGCUUGCUUGGGCUUGCUCAGUGCAGGCAAGCUUCUUUGGGGAGAUGCGAUCCUUUUCCCCCCGCAACUACUCCACCAGUCUAGUAAAAGUCCUUUGCCAGCCUUCAGGCACAGGAGCCAUUUUUUUUUUUUAAUUUUAAUUUAUUUAUUUAUUUUUACACACACGUGCACCAGCUCAGCACUGCAACAGGUGCAGUGGCAUCAGAGAUGAAACACGCAGAAAAUAGCAAGGGGGGGGAGUGCUUUUGCACUCACACUGCAAACGGUGUUACCGUGUGCAAGCUGCAUGUUUCACCACUUGUGCAACUGUAAGCGACACAGCGCCGCGCACGUCGACUCGCGUGCGGAGCAGGCUCGAUUCGUCUCCGGCACGUCACCGGGUGAAAAAGUACCAGUAGAAAUGCCCUAGGAGCCUCUGCUGUUCUGAGAUCACCAAGGAAUGAAAGAUGCUAAAAGUGUGACAGGAUGUCAGUGAGAAUGUAAAUAGGUGGGAACUAGGAUGAGGAGGGAAGAGAGGGGGAAAGCAGAAGGAAAUAAUGCCAAAGGAGAGUAAGGGAGACUUUUGUAGUUGAGUUUGCCAAGAUAGACAACUCAUUGCAGGCCAGGGAAACUGCCUGGAAAUGCAGAAGUCAGCACUUUUCUCUCUGCCUAGCAUUAGGCCCCCUGACUGUGCAGGGCACUGGAUAGACAGAGACAGGUCCUUGGCCUGGGAGCUUCCAGUGUCUGUUUGUGUUUUGGAGAGAAGAAAGUCCAAGCAUCCCUGCAAAGAGGCACCAUUCACAGAGAGCAGGGGACAGGCACAGAACUGCUGGAAGCACCUGCCAAGUUACAAAGCAAUGCAACCCAGACCGAAAAGCCAUUUGAAAACAGAUUGCUGGCCCAGCAUCAUUUGUGUCCAUGCCAAAUUAUUUUGCUUGGUGUGAAAGGUGCAGUGCAUUCCACUUUAAAACCCCACUGAGCUAACACUGACCUCAUGCACUCAGGGAAAAGCUGGCAAGCCAUCCCUCUGCAGAGGGAAGGAGAAGGGGGAGGAAACAAUUGCACAGGACAACUCCCUAUUUGCUUGUUUCCUCCAUCAGCCCUCCAACAAGUCAGAUCCAUGACACCACUUCCUUUCUAAAAAAAAAGAAAAGAACCUCCUUUCCCUCCCUUUCCUUCUCCUUGAUGGCUAGCACACUUCUUCCCUUGUGCUCUUGCUGCAACGUUCCUGAUGUGCUGUUUGCUCCAUGGAUGAUCAUUCAGGAGAAUCAUCAUAAGUAAACCCCAGCAGAGCCCCACCUUGACAAUAAAACCUUGCUCUUAUAUACAGCUCUUUAUCAGACCUCACCAACAGCGGCGGCAGGAGCAGCAGCAGCUGAUCCCCCUAAGGUUGGCUGAUCUCAUCCAGUGUGCUAUAAACUAGCUUUGCCUGGGGAUGGGGCCACAGGAGAGCAUGAGGACACCUCCCAGCCAAGACAGGUGAUGGGCACAAGGAGUACCCACGGCUUUUGAUAGCAUUAACAGAAAGAAGUGCUGGUCCCUUCUGGAAACAUGGAGAUUUCCACAGAAAUUUUGUUGCCAUCACAUGUUUAUUUCAUUUGGACAAAGCUGAAAGACUUCAUUAUAUCAUUUGGGGUCAAAUCGGGUUAGGUACCAAGCAGGGAUGUUAGCUUCCAACACUUACGAACAUCCAUCAGCCCCCAAAGCCUUCAAAUCCUCAGCUAAGGAUACAGAUGGUAAGUCAGGGAAAUACUACAAGACCUGCUUGGAAAUUAAGACGAGCAGCUUCCCUUUUCACCCUGAAACAGUUAAGAGAAGUAACAGCAUUUUUUUUCUUCUUCCUUGCCAUUUUGUCAUUGCCUAUUAAGCCCAUUUUCUCCCAUUGGAACUUUUCAGCAACCCAGGCUCAUCCUUUGUGCCUAAUUCAUAUAUUACAUACCUGACUAAUAUUUUAAUACCUUUUCCCCUUUCCAUUGCCGCCUUCUUUUUUACCCAUUAACUCAUCCCCUUCCUUGUUCCAUAACACGUUGCAUUCUCCAACCAAACUAUAAUCGCUGAAGUGAAUGUAUAAAAUAUAUAUCAUUUCAUGUAAUUAUAUACACAUACACACAGUCUAAUCCACCAUAAAAUAUAAACAAAUACAUUUGAGAAAAAACAGACAUUAAGCUAAUAAAGCACACCAUUUUCUCCAUUUUACUUAAAUACUGCAGGGAUGGUCAACCUGUGGCUCAAGUGUUACAAGGUGCACUGACAGAGCCUAUGCGUGGGCACGUGGCAGAACAAGGGUGGAACAGGGAGCACAGGCAGAUAGACCAGGGAGCAGAAAGCAGAGCAGGAGAUCUGACUGGGGAAGGGCAUCAGAAUGGCACCGGGGGAGGGCAAGAGGAUUAAUUUGUGGUCUGCCUGCCCACUGAAACACUGCAUUUCGCUUCCAUAUACCAGUACUUCACUUGUUCUUUAUCUUAGAGUUGUAAGCUCCUUAGAGAUGGGACCACCUACUUUGGGUAAAAAUCGCAGAUUUGUCAAAAUCAAUGGCAGAAAAAAACCUGGUGGUCUUUAAUGGUGCCAAGAUUCCACUUUCUGUUUUAUAACACUGAGCACAGUGCGACUCCAGUCCUGCACCACUACAGUCCAAAAUAAUAGUAAUUUGCAACUACUGAUGCCAUUUCUUUGCUGCUGAAUGUCAGUCACAGAUGGAAGCAGACACCCAGUUUAGGAAAGGUAAAGUUUUCAAUAAAUCCUGACAUCCUUUCCCCUCUCUCACGGAAGCAUUCCUACUCUUAUAGACAAGCAAAGAAGUGCCUUACUUGAGUUCAGUCAGCAUAGAAAGGGGUCCCUGAAGGUUUUCAGUCAGUAUCAGUAGAACUCAUGGAACAACAUUGACCUCCUAACAAUAUCAACUUUGCCACUGACCUACCGCUAGAGGUUUGAAUCAAGGAUUGCAUUGGAUUUAGACAAGGAAUGUCCCUGAUUUGUCAAUAAAGUUUUUGGAUUAUGGCUUCACUUAA